rnacentral:misc_RNA from 1 species
GAUGAAGAACGUAGCGAAAUGCGAUAACUAAUGUGAAUUGCAGAAUUCCGUGAAUCAUUGAGUCUUUGAACGCACAUUGCGCCCGCUGGUAUUCCGGCGGGCAUGCCUGUUCGAGCGUCAUUUCAACCCUCAAGCCCCCGGGUUUGGUGUUGGGGAUCGGCUCUGCCCUUCUGGGCGGUGCCGCCCCCGAAAUACAUUGGCGGUCUCGCUGCAGCCUCCAUUGCGUAGUAGCUAACACCUCGCAACUGGAACGCGGCGCGGCCAUGCCGUAAAACCCCAACUUCUGAAUGUUGACCUCGGAUCAGGUAGGAAUACCCGCUGAACUUAAGCAUAUCAAUAAGCGGAGGA